rnacentral:rRNA from 1 species
GGUAAACAUUCACGGAGAGUUUGAUCCUGGCUCAGGACGAACGCUGGCGGCGUGCUUAACACAUGCAAGU